UUAGUUCAACAGUUCAAUCGU
rnacentral:piRNA from 1 species